rnacentral:rRNA from 1 species
UGACCGCUGGCGGCGUGCCUAAUACAUGCAAGUCGAGCGAACAGAUAAGGAGCUUGCUCCUUUGACGUUAGCGGCGGACGGGUGAGUAACACGUGGGUAACCUACCUAUAAGACUGGGAUAACUUCGGGAAACCGGAGCUAAUACCGGAUAACAUUUGGAACCGCAUGGUUCUAAAGUGAAAGAUGGUUUUGCUAUCACUUAUAGAUGGACCCGCGCCGUAUUAGCUAGUUGGUAAGGUAACGGCUUACCAAGGCAACGAUACGUAGCCGACCUGAGAGGGUGAUCGGCCACACUGGAACUGAGACACGGUCCAGACUCCUACGGGAGGCAGCAGUAGGGAAUCUUCCGCAAUGGGCGAAAGCCUGACGGAGCAACGCCGCGUGAGUGAUGAAGGGUUUCGGCUCGUAAAACUCUGUUAUUAGGGAAGAACAAACGUGUAAGUAACUGUGCACGUCUUGACGGUACCUAAUCAGAAAGCCACGGCUAACUACGUG